AGGGUGAACCAGGACCUGACGGAUCCUCUGGGAUACCUGGUAUACCUGGGGAAGAUGGAGCGGUCGGACCUAAGGGUGAGAUUGGUUUGCCAGGACCAGUGAUGGGAAAGGAAUUCCUGGAAAAAGUCUUGUCUCCUUGUGACCUUCAUUGGGGAGCCUGGGUUCCAGGGGCCAAUUGGCCCUCGGGGGCCUCCAGGGGAUGGCUUUCCAGGAGAAAAGGGGGAUUGGUGGAGACCGUGGGAGGAAAGGAGACAAGGGAGAAUUUGGAGAGACAGGAUCUACAGGACCCAUGGGGAAAUCUGGUGAAAAGGGGGAACCUUGCUUGACAAGAGAGGAAGUCAUCAAAAUUAUCAGGGAAAUUUAUGCCCUGGAGAGUAAGCUGCUGAGCCGGAUCUGUGAGCACGACGAUGGAACACUCUUCAUCCCCAACUCCCUCGGGCCACCCGCCCCUGGACUCGUCGCCCCCUCACCUGUACCCAUACUGACCCCUGAGGUUUACAGAGAGGUCCCAGACAGGGGCGGCAUUAACCAACUUUGAGGACGAUUACAGAAGACCUAGGCCACUAAUAUUUGAGACUGAGAGCCCUCCCUCCUCAUGGCCCCAGCGUCCCCCGGCUUUGACGAGAAUGAAAUCGACACUGGCAAGGUGACGUAGUUCUUCAAGGUACCCCUGAACAAACUUCCAGACAUCAUGACAGUAGCAUCAGGGGGCCGAGGGGAGAAGCAGCAACCCCCUGUUAUCUCUAUGGUGGGACCCCAGACACCCACCAACUGGAUGUACGUCCCCAAGACCACCCAGCCUCCUCCUCCCCGGACACAGCCACCUCCACCCCCACUGACAGAAAUCUUUGUACCAGUGGUGGGGUGUAGACAGCCGUUGGAACCCUGAGCCAACGCCUGUGCUGUCUUUGUUAAACUGUGUGUCUUGGCACAUCCCUGGAGAGUAAGCUGCUGAGCCGGAUCUGUGAGCACGACGAUGGAACAUUCUUCAUCCCCAACUCCCUCGGGCCACCCGCCCCUGGACUCGUCGCCCCCUCACCUGUACCCAUACUGACCCCUGAGGUUUACAGAGAGGUCCCAGACAGGGGCGGCAUUAACCAACUUUGAGGACGAUUACAGAAGACCUAGGCCACUAAUAUUUGAGACUGAGAGCCCUCCCUCCUCAUGGCCCCAGCGUCCCCCGGCUUUGACGAGAAUGAAAUCGACACUGGCAAGGUGACGUAGUUCUUCAAGGUACCCCUGAACAAACUUCCAGACAUCAUGACAGUAGCAUCAGGGGGCCGAGGGGAGAAGCAGCAACCCCCUGUUAUAUCUAUGGUGGGACCCCAGACACCCACCAACUGGAUGUGCGUCCCCAAGACCACCCAGCUUCCUCCUCCCCGGACACAGCCACCUCCACCCCCACUGACAGAAAUCUUUGUACCAGUGGUGGGUUGCAGACAGCCGUUGGACCCUGGGCCAUGUCGUCAGUAUGUGGUCAGGUGGUACUACGACCCGGAAGCCAACGC